CGCCAACUCUAGAAAAUUAGGAUAUAGACUUCUAAUAAAUAAAAUAUUUACAGACCCCCAUGGUUUUCCAUCCAACCCUCAUAGUCUCUAAACCCAGAAAGAGGAGAAACUCAAAGGCUCUCUUCACAAAAGCUCAGGAUAAAAUAUUACCUUCUUUCUUUUCCUAGUUGCAGUUGAGGCUGGUGAUCACAAGAUGGCACUAAACUGCCCAAAUACAAAAUUGGAUUUUGUAGAGUUUUUUUGUCUCUUCUGAAAUCUUAAUUUGAACCAGAACUUACUAGGACUCAAGCUUUAAACCUGCCUUCAUUGUCCCGGAUUUUCUCUUAGAUGCAUGAGUUUUUCCUUGAAUGUGAGUGUGUCUCUGAGCGCUGGCACAGUACCUUCAGAGAUACUGCCAUGCGUCUGAAAUUAGGGCGCAAGAUCAGACAGUAUGGUUUCCAGGCAGGUUUGAGCCCCUCGUCUUUUUUAAAAAUGUAAAUGAAUCCUCUGUCAGUUAUAUAUAUGAAUUACUGCUGCCAAAUAGGUAAAGAAUAAAUAUUUUCUGGCGGAAUCUCACUCAGGGGUUAUCCACAAAUUUUCCUCCACUCUUUCCAGGCACAGACACUCUUUAAAGCUUUGUGUCUCAACACCCCCCCCCCUUUUAAAUUAUAAGCCCUUUUCUGGUGUAAGAGUCUGCUAGAGAUGAUUUUCCAACCUUAAUGUUGUGGACAUAGAGCAAUGGAUGGCUCUCUCUUCGUGUCCUGCUAAUGCACUUUCCAGGGGUAUUGGGUUGGCCUGUGUCACAGAUAACACAGGAUUUGAACUUUGUGCCAAUUUCUUUUUUCAAAAAACAAAACAAAGGAGGGGAUGAAGACCCCCUCUUGUAACAUAUCCAUAGAGAUAAAUGAAAUAAUUCGUUUAACUUUGAAAACUGAUUUCUAAGGUUGCAAUCCUAACCCCAUUUAUGUGGAAGUAGGUGGCCCCAACUAAUUCAACAGGACUUACUUCUGAGCAGUCGUGGUUGCAUUUCUUUGUAAGUGUGAGUUUUUUUCUUGUUCCUUUUUCCUUUUCCUUGGGCCCAGGUCGAGUCACACAAAAAUCUAACAAUUAAAAUAAGUGUAAGGUAGAAAUUAAAAUAACAAAAAAUUACAAGAAACAGCCAAUACAGUACCAGAAUAACAGUGCACAGGAAGAUAAUCCCGCAACCAAAGGCCUUCGUGAAGUAUAUUGAACAACUGAGCAAAAGCACAGUCAGUGAAGGUGCAAGGAGGGUCUCCCCUGUUGAUUUUAACACACAAAGCACGAUCAUUAUGUGUGGAGGCCUUCCUUCAGAUUCUGUGUUUGUAAAAGCCUGCAGGCUGGGCCUGUCUUAAUUUCGAUUUCAUGUAAGCUACUCAGGACCCCUUUUCAGCUGGAAAAGUAGGAUAAAAAUCCUCAAAAUAAGUAAUUAGCACAUACAUCAAGAGGUGAAAUGCUGGAUGCAGGAAUCCCUUUGCUGGGGCUCCACAAAGAUCUCUUCAGAAAAUGGGAGUUUCCUUUACUCUCAAUAAAAGGCCCUUGGGUUGGGUACAGUCAGUAGGCCACAACCAGUUUGGCUGAAGAACUAGGACUGUCUGUAUGGUACCUGGUGAAACAAAGGAGAACUUUGAAUACUUUAAAACCCAAAUUUUAUCCUGGUUUCCUCUCCUGCUGUCAACUUACCCACAGAGGGAGCCGAGCUUCUCAGGAAAUGGACAGAGGAGUCUCAUCCUGAAUUCAGUUGAUAGCCUCUCGCUUAAGCUCAUAAGCUAUGUGACUUGGGGAAUUUGUCCCUCACUGAGGAUCCCCUGAUGGGUUUUGAGGUGAAAGGACCUUUUAAUUAUACUCUAAUUUGUACUCUGUGGAUGUUCAGAAGUUAACUUGAAACAGCUGCAGGCUGACUGCUGUGAAACCAAUCAGCUACUAAGAUCUACCUGUUGGUAUGCAGAUCCAUCCUGCUUUCUGUUAUGCAUAAGAGGCUUUCUGGAAGAUUGAGUGUGAUUUAGGGAAUGGGGGAGGCAGCAUUUUCCACUGAAAAGGAUUUGUAAGAAAAGAAGGAGGUGUUUGCAUAAAUUGUUAGGAAGAUUUGGGAAGGUGGGGUCAGGGAGAUGUAGGUUUGGAGGAAGAUCUUAGCUCAGUGGCAGAUCUUUGGGCAUCUAUCAGUAAGGCUAGGAAAGUGGCCUGUCUGAAGCCCAAGACAGUUGCUGCCAGUCAGUGUCAUAUACAGUGGUACCUCGGGUUAAGUACUUAAUUCAUUCUGGAGGUCCGUUCUUAACCUAAAACUGUUCUUAACCUGAAGCACCACUUUAGCUAAUGGGGCCUCCUGCUGCCGCCGCGCCGCCAGAGCACAAUUUCUGUUCUUAUCCUGAAGCAAAGUUCUUAACCUGAAGCACUACUGGGUUAGCGGAGUCUGUAACCUGAAGCGUAUGUAACCUGAAGCGUAUGUAACCUGAGGUACCACUGUAGAGAGAGAGGGACCAAUUAUCUGACUUGGUCUAUGCAAAAGCCAGUGUCCCUAGGCCAAUGGAUAGCACUACCUGUGCUACCAUGCUUGCUUAUGAAGGGGAAACCAGAACAUCUACACUUUUCUCCCAGCAGACUGCUUGCAACUUCAGGGGACAGUGGUCAAGGGAAGGGCUGAACAACCAGCCCCUCGAUAGCUCUGCACCCCAGUUAAAAGUUUCCCCCAGUGAGAGCCAGCAUGGCGUAGUGUUUGGGUUAGGACCUGGGUGACCAGAGUUCAAAUCCCCUCUCAGCCAGAAAGCUCACUGGGUGAUCUUGUGCCAGCCACUAUCUCUCAGCCUAACCUACCUCACAGGGGUGUUGUGAGGGUAAAACGGAGAACCCUGUAUGCUACCACGAGCUCCUUGGGGAAAAUGGGAAUAGAAAUGUAAUUGUGAAAUAUGAUAAAAUAAAGAUAUUGGGAGAUCAGAUCGCUGAUCUCUCCUGUAUCACAUCUGUUGGUCAAGGAUGGGGAACCUGUCACCCUCUAGGUGUCAUUGGAUCCAGUCGUCACCAGCUCCAGCCGGUAUAGAUUAAUGGGAGCCACCAGUUCCACAUCCCAGAUUAAUAGUCAGAACGAACUAGCGUGAUCUGUAUGUGCCAUUGAACCAGGGACACUGCCAGCUUCUGGCUUCCUGAGGCAGCCACCAGAGCACAGCUACCAGGAAGACCCCUCUGCUGAUACUUGGUCUUAAAAUAAUAAUAAUAAUAAUAACAAAACCCUAAAACUAAAAUAAUUAAAAAAGAAAACCCACCUCAGCACUCCAAACAGUACUGGGUGGCUGUGUCUAACAAGCAUAAUUUCCCACAGUGCCCCAAGGUAGCCUCACUGCGGGGCAUUGUGGGAAAUCUAAAUGAUGGCUAGCUGCCAAACUGCCCAUUACUGCUCAGAGCACUGCUGCCUGCCAGUGCUGCCAGAGGAGGGUGCCUUCUGCCCAACGCCCCUCAAACCCGGAGCCAACCCUGCACUGGACACUUCAACAGCACACAGAAUAUUGUGUGUAGCUGAACUGUGGGGGUGCUCCUUGGUACCCCCUGAAAGAGAAAGGUCUAAUAUAAGACAUUUUAGUGGUGGUAUCUGAAUUAGCAGCAGCCGGCAUAUUUAUGUACCUACUCAUCCUUCCCUGGCGGAAAACCUACAAGUAAACAGGCAUAAACUAGUCAGAGUUAAUCACUUUUUUCUUUUUUUACCUUUCCUUUAAUUUCAGAGGGAGAAAUGUGAGCAUGUGCUUGACUGAAACAUAAUUUUAGUUUAUUCAGUGCACUUGUUUUAUUUCUGGAUUGCGGCCUACCAUGAUUCAUGGAUUAUCAAGAGGCACUUCACCAGAGUUCCCUAUGAAGAGGGAUUGUUUGUUAAACCACUCUUGAGAAUUGUAGCUUUGCGAGGGAAAUAGGGGUCCCCUAAGAACUCUGAAGGGACGCGGGUGGCGCUGUGGGUUAAACCACAGAGCCUAGGGCUUGCCAAUCAGAAGGUCGGUGGUUCGAAUCCCCAUGACGGGGUGAGCUCCCAUUGCUCGGUCCCUGCUCCUGCCAACCUAGCUGUUUGAAAGCACGUCAAAGUGCAAGUAGAUAAAUAGGUACCGCUCCGGCGGUAAGGUAAAUGGCGUUUCCGUGCGCUGCUCUGGUUCACCAGAAGCGGCUUAGUCAUGCUGGCCACAUGACCCAGAAGAUGUACACCGGCUCCCUCGGCCAAUAAAGCAAGAUGAGCGCCACAACCCCAGAGUCGGUCACGACUGGACCUAAUGGUCAGGGGUCCCUUUACCUUUACCUUUACCUUUAAGAACUCUUAGCAUCCUUGACAAACUAGCACGUUUGCAAAGGAGGGUCUGGUAUGAUUUCAAAUUGGGCUGGGGGGGCCACAUGUUGAGAUUGGUGUGCCCCAAAUGUUGUUGGACUACAAGUCCCAUUAGCCCCAGCCAGCAAGGGUUAAUGGUCAGGAAUGAUGGGAAUAGUAGUCCAACAACAUCCCACAAGCCACCAGUUCCCUAUCCCUCUAUUCAGGCACUUCACUAUUUCACUAGCUAGGGACAGAAGUCUUCAUCUGACAAGAAAAUACUAUUUUUCUAUUAGAUGUGCAGCUGUCAUUCACUGCAAGCACAAAUGUACUGCAUGUGAAGAAGUUGUGUUGCUUCCUCUCUUAGAGCUGUGAAUUAACUAUCAUUUAUUCACAAAGAGCUCUGUGUUACUUGGACACUUGCAUGCACCCAGAGCAGGACAGAAACCCAUUAUAGGUACCUGUGUGAACCAUCUAUCUAGCUAGGCAAACUAUCUAUCUAUGCAAAGUAUCACUAGCUAGGGAAAACCACACUGCUUGGUAAAUCAGCCCCUCCCAUGCUUUCCAAAGAAAAACUACCACUCGGUGGAAUCCGACUCUUUUAUAUGUUUCAAUAAUACAAAUGAAAUUUAAGACUCCUACAGGGCUGUAAAGCUGUAAAAUAUUUGCCUUUCAAAAUCUCCCCAGCCUAAUAAAUGUCUCACGCUUGCUUUUCUUUUUAUUCUGUUGCAUUCAUAGCUUCUUUAAAAUAUACUGUAGUCUCGCUGAUGGGCCUGAGCCACAGAACCUGCUUUCUGUGCCAGAGUCCAUCCCUGAAACAUUCCACGCAGGAAACAGGUAGUAGGGCAUGUUGAAUUUUUCAAAUUUGCUAAAAAGUUAUAAUAUGACUUGGGAAUUAAAAAAAUAAUUUGGUUAAUUAAUACUGUAUACUUUAGUUUUGCUCGGUAAGUAAAAUGUGUGUAAAAUUGCAUAGAAAUUGUUAAAAAUGAUUGCCAAGUAUACUCUGGUUUCACUUCAGAUCAUAAAAGGAUUGCCAAGUACUAUUCUUUAUUCUUAUUCUUAUUAUUUAGCAUUACCUGGCAUUUUCAGAAGGUAAAAUUAAAAUUAUUUGGUUUUCUGAAAGCAGUUUUUGUGCUUCUUCAUCAAACAUAUGCAAAUCUAAAUGUUGUCCAGUCACAAAAUAAUAACAGAUUUGAAUUCCUUGCAGCUCAAAAGUAUAUUUUUAAGACCCCUCAUUGAAGAAAUCUGCAAAAAUUAAGUUUCAGCUCCUAAAAUAGCACGCCCUAGGAGUGCUUUCCUUUGCCUUUCAGGAGCUAUGCUUCUCUCCCACACCUUUGGGAAGAGAGGAAAAGGCUUCCAUGAUAAGAAGGGCAUCUUCCUGAUCAUGACUGAGCCCCAGUAUCUCCUAACUUGAGAAAUUAGCUGCUGUCUGUCCUUAAAUAGGUAUUUUAGGCUGUGAGUUAGCCUCAUUCAAGGUGUUGCUAGGGGAGGCAGGAGAGCCUGAGCCCCAGGAUCUCCUGCCCUUCCCCGCCUCUUUGAUUAAACAGCCUAAAGUGUAUCUCUAUAUAAAAAUUAGCAUGUGCACAUUUUGUGCAAUGUUGCAGCAUAGGUUUGUGCCCCAAAUCUUUCAAGUGUGGGAGAUUUUGCAGUCAAACCUAACAAUGCAUGUCUGUACUAGUUAGGAAAUGAAGGGGUUAAGGAACACAGAGCUGUAAAUUUUCUAGAGAAAAUAAAGGGUUGCAUGUGUUGCAAGUAGCUGUGCGGGCAGUGUGCGUAUUCCAAAUAUUAAUAUUUCUGAGGCGAAGAUUCAGUCUUCGUAGGGUGUUGCUAAGAUGUGGGAAGCUUAUUCAAAUAAGGACCAGUUCUGCUUGGCGUGCCUGCAUGCAUCACUUCUCUGUGCAGAGACAGGAGAAAAUUCCCCAGCAUUUAACACGCUGCAAGAUACAUGCAGAUGACCUUGUGAAAUUUGUGGGUAUGGCUGAAGUCUAGGCUACCUUUUACAAGGAUCUGCUCCAAAAGAACAGGAACUGGAAAAUACGGUACUUUUUUUUUUUUUUUAAUGGUUUGAAAACCUGAGUAGAAGUUAUUACUUCAAAUUUACCUAAAUUACUGUGUUUGAAUUCAGCUGGCUAUAGAAAGUCCAUACUGCUGUCUAAGCUGCAGGAUAUUAAAAAGAUUUGGUGUGAAGGGGAAUGGAGAUCUGAGAGUAGGUGGUGCAUAUAGCAGGACUCCAUACCCUCCAACAUUUCUCCGAUGAAAAUAGGGACAUCCUAAGGAAAAGCGGGACAUUCCUGGAUCAAAUUAGAAACCAGGACAGCUUCUGUAAAUCUGGAACUGUCCGUGAAAAAUAGGGACAUUUGGAGGGUUUGAUUCCAAUGUCAUUCCUGGGCCUGAUACCUGAGAACCUUCUAUUUGGAGAUGCUAUCGCCCAAACCUAGGGCUUCCUGCAUGACUGGCAGGAGCUUUGCCCCAUACAGUGGUCUGAAGAGUACAGAAGAACCUAGCCUGACCACACAACCAGCUCUCUAGCCCACCAUCGUGAUUCCUUUUUCCACAGAAAUUCACCCGUUGCCACAUUUGCUAUCAUUUUAGGCUAACCUUGUGUUUCAGCAGUCACAUGGUUGCCAGAGGCGAGUAGGAAUUCCACGCAGACGAGUGAGAGGGCUCCUGGAGAAGCGAUGGAUCACGCAAACCUUUCUGUUUAGCAGCCCAUUGGGUUUCUCUGCUAGCCAUGAAGGAACAAAAACACCUUUUAUCACCUGCAUGGAAAUGCAGAGGGCUAGUGGAGGAGGAAUGGAGUGGUCCAUUUGAUAGAAGACUUUAAAAAAAAUAAAAAUAAAAACUAGUCUUUCAGGAGACUGAAAGUCUGCAUUUCUAUGGGGCUUCUCCUCUUCCGUGGUCAGCCAGAAAAUGCAGGCAACUUUUGCAGGCAAGGGACUUCUGUAGGCCUAUUAGGCAUCACACAAACAUGACCCUGUCACUCUCUUCCAGGACUUUUAGCCUGUAGGUGUUGGUAUUUUAAGUCUUCUGGUCACACCCUGGCCCAUUGUUUGUAGUCUUUUCCCUUCUUUAGGCUGCAGUCCUCUACCUGCAGUACUUCACUGGGAAUAAGCCCCACUAAAUUCAGGGGAAUUUUGUUCCGAGUAAGCAUGCCAAGGAUUGCGGCUGUUUCAUUCUUCUUUUGAGUAAUGUGACUGUUCUAAUUAUUGCAAACAGCCCUGAGAUCUCUGGAUGAAGGACAGCAUGAUUAUUAUUUAAAUUCAAAAUAAAACUUACUUUUUAGAAAAUUGCUUUUUUUACUCUCCCUACCCCCUCCUUUUUUUUUUUUUAAAGGGAACGGGAGUUCAAAAUAUGGGGGUCACUGGAAAAUAGGCACACUUAGAAAAGAAAGGAAAGGAAAUCUGAUAAAGGAGAAAAGGAGGGAAGUAGUGACCACAUCAAAUUAGAUAUUUCUGCUUCCUGAAUCUUCUGCUUCUUGAGUAUCCCUGAUUAGAAUCUAAUAUUUUAAACUGCCUCCUGUAAUCUAUGCAAUGGCUCUGAUUGUUUUCGCCAUGUGUUCGUUCCUGUCUGGCCCCUAAACUGGUUCUUAACAUCUGCUGCAGACCAUUAUCUGCACCUUCAGCGUGCUGCAAUCCAGUACACCAGAGAUAGCCAACGUGGUGCCCUCCACAUGUUGGGCCACACGUUCAGUCAUCUCUGGCAUGUCCCCUUCCACAGAACAUUUUUCACCCUCCCACCAAGGACCAUAGCCCUUGGGGGUGGGGGGGGAGGAAACCUUGCCCUGUUUUAGGCUGUGGAUAGUACAUUUGAAGCAUGUCUCCAAAAAACCCUGGGAACUGUGGGUUGCCCUUCACAGAGCUACAAUUCCCAGCACCCUUAACAAACUAAUAUUCCAAAGAUUGGGGGGGGGGGAGAGAGUUAUUUGCUUUAAAUGUAUGGUGUGUACACAGUGUAGUUUUCGCCUUCCUUCAGGGCAAGAUGAUAUUUGAGGUGAUAUUGUUGCCAUAUACCCCGAAUUUCCAGACAUGCAUAGAAUACUGCUGUCAGAAGUCAUGUCCGGGCAAAAACCGGCAAAAAAACAGUGUUGUUUCAACAGUGUUGUUUUGGACUAUUUUACUUUUUAAAACCUUUUUAAAAAUAUUUUUGUGUGUGUGAAAGAAAGCUCAACAACUUUGCGAAAAUAUGGCAACCCUAGGGAGAGGCCACCUAAGCUGGAAUAUUAGGAGCUGGAGAGCUUCUCAAUAUAGUUCCUGACUUGCAAAGAAUGGUUGCCCACAGCAUGGAAUAUUACAAUAAUGGACAAGCUUUUUGCAGAGGCUAAACUGCAAGCCAACACUUCUGUUUCUUGAUAUAUAGAUGUAGAUAUAUAAAUAACAAUUGGCCCCUUCUUAGGAGGAAGGAUGCCGUAGACCAGGGGUCAGAAACCUUUUUCAGCCAUGGGCCAGUCCACCGUCCCUCAGACCAUGUGGUGGGCCAGACUAUAUUUUUUGGGGGGAAAGGAACAAAUUCCUAAGCCCCACAAAUAACUCAGAGAUGCAUUUUAAAUAAAAGCACACAUUCUACUCAUGUAAAAACACCAGGCAGGCCCUACAAAUAACCCAGAGAUGCAUUUUAAAUAAAAGAACACAUUCUACUCAUGUAAAAACACGCUGAUUCCCGGAUUGUCUGCAGGCUGGAUUGAGGUGAUUGGGCCUCAUCCGGCCCCCGGACCUUAGGUUGCCUACCCCUGCCAUAGGCGAAGGUAUCUAAUGGUGCAAUCCUAGGUAUGUCUAUACAAAAGUAAGUCCAAGUCUUCUGCAAACAAACUGAUUUUUAUGUUGCACGUUCCCAAUUUCAUAACCUUUAAUAUCCGAGUCCUCUUUCACCGCUGCUGCCAGCGGUUGCGUGGUGAGUACAAAAAGUAGCGGUGAAAGAGGACAUCCUUGUUUAGCUCCUUUCAAUAGUGCCAUUUCCGAAGGCAUUUAAUCUUAUGCUGGCUAUGCCACCUGCAUUUAGAAAAGACUGGUUUAAAAAAAUCAAAAGUUUUCAAUGCAUCUAGUUUAAAAAUGGCUGCAGGCUUACUAUGGUGUUUGCUAUCCCUUAUAAUAUUUAAGACUCUGCGAAAUACGGUAGGUCUGAUACAGUGGUACCUUGGUUCUCAAAAGCCUUGGUACUUAAACAACUUGGAACCCAAACACUGCAAACCCAGAAGUAAAUGUUCUGGUUUGUGAACUUUUUUCAGAAGCUGAACAUGCUGUUUUGAGUGCCACACUUCUGUUUUCAGUGUUAGACUGAGGUCUGUCUGUUUUUGCUAUUUAUUUUGCAUUUUUGUUUUUUGCGGCUCUUUUUUUGUUUUGUUUUUGUGAAUGUGUGGAACCCAGUUCAGCUACUGAUUGAUUGAUUGAUUGAUUGAUUGUGUGACUGCAGUACAUUGUUCAUUGCUUUCAUUUUAUGGAUCAGUGGUCUCGUUAGAUAGUAAAAUUCAUGUUAAAAUGCUGUUUUAAGGGUUGUUUUUAAAAGUCUGGAACAAAUUAAUCCAUUUUGGAUUUCUAUAGGAAAGCGUGCCUUGGUUUUGGAACACUUUGGUUUUGGAACAGACUUCUGGAACGGAUUAAGUUUGAGAACCAAGGUACCAUUGUAUUUGUCCACCUUCAAUGCCUGAUCUUCAGGAGCAAGUGAUGGAAGGAUAUUUCUCAGAGACAGCUUUCCAGUCUGACAGUGAACCAUGAUCAGAUGUGGGUUGUACCUGGUUUUAGAUGGAUUUGAACAAUCAGCAGGAAGAGCCAUAAAUAUAUAUUUUUUGAUACUGAUUUAAUGAGUUAAUUGGUCUAUAGGAAUUUGCAUCAGUAAUAUAUUUGCCUGG